AUACAUGCAAGUAGAACGCUGAAGCUUGGUGCUUGCACCGAGCGGAUGAGUUGCGAACGGGUGAGUAACGCGUAGGUAACCUGCCUCUUAGCGGGGGAUAACUAUUGGAAACGAUAGCUAAUACCGCAUAAAAGUCGACAUUGCAUGAUGUUGACUUGAAAGGUGCAAUUGCAUCACUAAGAGAUGGACCUGCGUUGUAUUAGCUAGUUGGUGAGGUAACGGCUCACCAAGGCGACGAUACAUAGCCGACCUGAGAGGGUGAUCGGCCACACUGGGACUGAGACACGGCCCAGACUCCUACGGGAGGCAGCAGUAGGGAAUCUUCGGCAAUGGGGGCAACCCUGACCGAGCAACGCCGCGUGAGUGAAGAAGGUUUUCGGAUCGUAAAGCUCUGUUGUAAGAGAAGAACGAGUGUGAGAGUGGAAAGUUCACACUGUGACGGUAACUUACCAGAAAGGGACGGCUAACUACGUGCCAGCAGCCGCGGUAAUACGUAGGUCCCGAGCGUUAUCCGGAUUUAUUGGGCGUAAAGCGAGCGCAGGCGGUUAGAUAAGUCUGAAGUUAAAGGCUGUGGCUUAACCAUAGUACGCUUUGGAAACUGUUUAACUUGAGUGCAGAAGGGGAGAGUGGAAUUCCAUGUGUAGCGGUGAAAUGCGUAGAUAUAUGGAGGAACACCGGUGGCGAAAGCGGCUCUCUG
rnacentral:rRNA from 1 species